AGUUUUUUUUUUUUUUUUUUUUUCACAGUAAUCUCCUAAUAUUUUAUUCUGAUACCUUUUAUCCUCUUUCACCGAUUCCUUGCCUCCAGAAGUGGACUUAUAAAAUUUCUAUAAACCUAAAAUAGUUCACAGCAAGAAGAGGACUGCCAGCAUCUGGGAGAUGAAAACAGCCGACAUUCAAUACUUGGAAGCAUCAUGAGGACAAUGAAAAGGAAAUUCUUGCCCAUUCUUUUCUAAAAAGAGAAGACUAACCAGGAAGACUCCCUGUGAAUAAGUGCUUGUUGCAGACAUUCUUUUAUUGAGAACACAAAUUCCACAAAAUUUAUAAGGAAAAAUGGAGUAUGAAUAAAUGCCUCAAAAUAAUUGCUUUAAAAACUCACUUAAAUAUUUGAAUGGGUGAAUUAAACUUGAAUAGACUUUCUGUAUGAUGAAAAGAAAGGGCAUGAUAUCUUCUUCUGUGCAGCAGAAUGUAUUCUCUCAAAAACAGAAAACAGUUUCUUUUUGAAUUUUCAGAGUCUGUCCAGAAGCCCUUACAUUCCUUUAGACACAAACACUUCCCUACAAAACAUAUGAUAUUUUUCUUGCAUUUUUGAUGCUGCACAUCUUGGAUUUGAAGGAUACUAAUGUUGGUAUGAUAAUUGUGGUUCAAGUAAAACAUGAAUUAUUUGAAUCAGCUCUCCAGUCUUCUGCUGAUAUCAUGCUCAAAUAUUAUGAUACAGAGCUUAGAAAAUAAGUAGACAGAUGAGCAAACUGGAAUCAGACAGAGAUUUCUUAGCUAGCACUGAUGAUAAGAGCAGCAUCCACCAUGACAAGAACUAAAUCUAGAAGUGAGAGUAUUGGUAUUUCCAUCAGUAAUUAGCCACUUCUGAGUCUUUCAAGUACCUUGAAGCACCUGAAAGCUGUAAGAGAUAUUUACCUGUGAUAUUUAUUCUGCAGUGCUAGUUGUUCCCUGCUGGAGAGUGAUAUUAUUUCUUGAAAACUUGUGCCUUGAGCAUGGUCUGAUUGAUUUAGCACCAAAAAGCAUCCUGUUUUUCACUCACAGAGAAAGUGAGCAACAUUUCCUGGCAGAGCUAAGUAGAUAUUCUUAAUUUAGUUGUCCUGAUCUGGGAAAUGAACACUCUUCUUUAUGUACAGACUAUUUUUCUAUACAGCUCUUUUGCAAGAUCAAGACCAUUCACCCACUAAGCUCUGCAAAGGUCAAGGACCUGGUGGCACGCUCUCCAUGAAGAUGGAGGUCAGCCUCACUGACAUUGAUACAAGUCAAGUCUGUCAUUAUUCAUUCACCUCCUGCACCCUACAGCAGCUCUCCAGGGUCACACAGGAAGCAUGGAGUAAAACCAAGGAUUUAUUGAAAAGCUGAAUUUUAGCUCUGUUUCAAGCUGCAAACCAGAAAACAAACAUUUCUCUUCUUGACCUAUUUUAAAAGUGCAAGUCAACAGCUUGAGUUCUUUCACAUACACAACAAAUACAAUAGGAAAUGGGAAUUGGAAAUGAAGAUUAACAUUCCUACUGCUUCCAUGUUUUUUCCUUUCUUUGUCUUCUAGAUGAAAAAAAAAUCAAACUACUACUUUAUUAUAACAACAAAAGGUUUUCUGUGAGUUGAAGACUUUGGAGGAAAUGAAAGACAAUCCUAACAUCAUUGAGUAUUAUCAGACGUGCUUACAAUGAGAUUGUAAACUGGAUUAUGAGAUUCUGGACAAGUUGUCCCAUCCACAACUGUAAACAACUUUUGAACCAUUAAUGCUCUCACCUUCAGUCAGUUAAACCUCAUAAAAGCAUCCUAUACCUUUUGUGGAAUGACUUUAAGAAAGACCAGUUCUCCAGUAUGAAACAAUGAUAGAAACCUGGCAAUAGUAAGAGAUCUUCAAAUAAUGGAGAAAAUUCACUGGAAAAUAUUUAUUGAUUGUGCUAUUCUUUCAUCUAGAGGUGCAUAUAAGUUAGACAAGGCUAGCAGAAAGAUGUUAUGCCUUUCAUUAUGCCAACCACUACAGGUGGAAAAUAGGCUAAAUUAUUAAUCUGUCAGCUCUUUUUCAUGUCAGCUCUUUGUGUUAUGUUGUUAUCUUCCACAUCAUCAUGGCAAUAUCAUUAUAAUCCAACUUCCUAAGGAUAUUACAUGACCAAGGUUAAUUAUUGGCUCUGUACUGUCUGCUUCAAACUGGUGAGGCUAGGGGGGUCUUACAGGCAGAAUUAUUCAGCUCUUGGUGCUCUAUGUCCAGCUGCAGUUUAUGUCAGUGACAAGUAACUACUGUCAUAAAGCAAAUAAACAAAAGAUUUGGAGCUUCAUGUUAAGAGGAAGCAGAACUGCUCUCCUGUUUUAUUUCUCUAUUUAUUUUCUCUCUUGAAAUUAAAGAGCCCUAGAGAAAUAUUUAAGAUUUACUAUAAAUCUACAGAAGCAAAGUUUGGUCAACUCAGAAAAUAAUUUGUAUUUGUGAAAGUACUUGUGUGAGCCUACCCUCUGCAAAGCUUAUUGCAAACUCGUUUACAUCUGAAUUGUUAACUAUUACAUUAUUCAAUUGUACCAUUUAAAUAUGUGGGUUGAUCUGUGCUAGAAAAUCUUUGAAAUUUGUUUUCCUUAAAGUGUGGGCACUGGAGCAUUAAACUCUCCAAGUGAUAUGAGAAAAUUAGAUUCAGUCUUCUGAGCCUGCUUGCUUUGAAUGAAAUUCUGCUGUAAAUACAAGAAUCAAAUAUGGUUGGGAGAGUGGUUUUAUUGCAGAUCUGGCCUGUUUUGUAUUUGUUGCUGAACACAUGUAGGCAGAAGAAUUCAUGCUGCACUGCAGUAAAACUAAAAUGCCAUUAGAAUAUAUGUGUGACAGCAGAAGAAAGCACCAUACUUCAGGAUUUUUCCAUGAAAAAAAAAGACAUGAAAAUUAAAUAAAUAGCCUUUGCAUUUUACUUAUUUAUUUGGUUAUGGAUUUUGCAUAAAAUAAAAUAAAAUAAAAAAAAAAACAACCAUUGUUUUAACUCACUUAUUCUCAUAGAGAUGCAUCCCAGUGGUGCCUAAUAACCUUUCUAAUGAACCCCU